rnacentral:rRNA from 1 species
UACGUAGGGCGCAAGCGUUAUCCGGAAUUAUUGGGCGUAAAGGGCUCGUAGGCGGUUUGUCGCGUCUGCCGUGAAAGUCCGGGGCUCAACUCCGGAUCUGCGGUGGGUACGGGCAGACUAGAAUUCGGUAGGGGAGACUGGAAUUCCUGGUGUAGCGGUGAAAUGCGCAGAUAUCAGGAGGAACACCGGUGGCGAAGGCGGGUCUCUGGGCCGUAACUGACGCUGAGGAGCGAAAGCGUGAGGAGCGAACAGG